CCUGGUUGGGCCCUGCCCUGAGCUGCCACCGGGAAGCCAGCCUCAGGGACCGCAGCGACCCCCAAACACCCCUCCCCCAGGAUGUCGGAGGAGAUCAUCACGCCGGUGUACUGCACCGGAGUGUCAGCCCAAGUGCAGAAGCAGCGGGCCAGGGAGCUGGGCCUCGGCCGCCAUGAGAAUGCCAUCAAGUACCUGGGCCAGGAUUAUGAGCAGCUGCGGGUGCGAUGCCUGCAGAGUGGGACCCUCUUCCGUGAUGAGGCCUUCCCCCCGGUGCCCCAGAGCCUGGGUUACAAGGACCUGGGUCCCAAUUCCUCCAAGACCUAUGGCAUCAAGUGGAAGCGUCCCACGGAGCUGCUGUCAAACCCCCAGUUCAUCGUGGAUGGAGCCACCCGCACAGACAUCUGCCAGGGAGCACUGGGGGACUGCUGGCUCUUGGCGGCCAUCGCCUCCCUCACUCUCAACGACACCCUCCUGCACCGAGUGGUUCCACACGGUCAGAGCUUCCAGAAUGGCUAUGCCGGCAUCUUCCAUUUCCAGGUACUCACCGUGCCCCUCCCCCACAGCUGUGGCAAUUUGGGGAGUGG
rnacentral:sRNA from 1 species